GUCUAUGGCCUGCCACCCGGAACGUGCCCGAUCCUGGCCAACCUUGGAAGCUAAGCAGGGUCGGGCCUGAAUAGUACUUGGAUGGGAGACCGCCUGAGAAUACCGGGUGCUGUGGGCG
rnacentral:rRNA from 1 species